UGAUUACAAGGCAACGGCAGCCAUUUCGACGCUUCUCGACGCUUUUCCACGCUCACGAAUUCGUCCAGGUGAGGAUCAAGCUCAUUUGCGUCCGUCGCGUUCACAAAUUGUUCGUAGUUUGUAAUCAGCGUUCUUCUUCAUGAUAUACUUCACUUCUGUAUAGCAAUUCGGGAUUUAGACGAUCCAGUGAGUGUAUUAGGUGUCAAGGAUAGAUUUGGCCUCCUUGGUGGAUUUUGCACAUUAAUAUGGUGCAGUUAACUACUUUUCUGCUUCUACAUUUGAUUAUUCCCUGAUGAGUGGUUGCUGUUCGAUCAUCUUUGUUAUCAAUCAAAUCUUUCGUCGUACGUUUUAGCUGAGAAAGAGAAAAAGAAAGAAGGAGAGACAGUGUAAAGAAGAAAGAAGUUUCUAAAGUCUGAAAGGCAGGUUAAUUAUUUAUCUCCACGAGCUGUCUGUGAACGUCUAUUUACAUAUGUAUAUCUCUAUAUAUAUUCUACAUAGUAUGAUUUUACUUUACUUAUACCGAGAAUCUUAUAUACGGGUAAGUAAUUUAUGAUCACAAAUUUUUCAAAAAUAAUAAAGAAGUUUAAAAAACUGAAGUUUAAUAAACAAAAUGGA
rnacentral:misc_RNA from 1 species